rnacentral:lncRNA from 1 species
GCUCAGGGCCCUUGUUCACUAGAGACAAGGUGUCCCCUGACCCUUCUUCCAAACAUAUUCUUUUGUCUCUUGUCUUUAUUCCCGCAUUCAUCCCCCUUUGUUCAGUCCACCAGGGAUCCUGGCAGGCUGCAAGUGGUGCCUCGAACAGCAACAGAAUCUGGUGCUUUACAAGUGGCGUCCAAACACAGGGGCUUCGAGGAUGUGAAUGAAGAAUGUCUGCUAGAGCAGAGGAACUGAAAUUGACAAGGCGAAUGGGGACCCCGGGAUGAGUCUGCUGGCAGCGGAUAUAAGAGAGAAGAUCGACCAGAGUCACGACGACAUCAACCCCCAUAACCUGGGACAACUCAAGAAAACUACGCAGGAAGCUGAGAAACUACUGGAGUGUCAAGGCCAGACAAAAACCCCUGAUUCCGUGUUCUUGGCCAUGUUAGCCAUAAUAUCCUGUGCAGUAUGUUUUUCCUGUGCAGAGGCAAAAACAUAUUGGGCAUAUGUUCCCAAGUCCCCAGCAGUAUGACCCAUACUUUGGAGUGACACUCCUCCUAAGAUUUAUCAUGAUUAAGGAGCAUGGGCUCCAGGACCCCUAACUCCACCUGACAUAGAACAGUUAGACUCUCAGAAUAAUGUCAUUAAUUAUACCGCUCCAUUGGAAGGACUUCCUUUGUGUGUCACCACAAAGACAUCACUCAGCCAUAGCUGUCUUACAGUUCAAGCUCACACAUGGUUGAGUCACUAUGGGAAAAUCAUGUACUUAUUAAGUCUUGGUUAUAUUAAUGUAACCGGUGUGCUAACCAACCAUUCCUGGCCCAAUCGCCUUCAUUGUGCUGACUAUACAGAAUGGAUUCCCUUCAAUAGUUCCUACCCCCCUCCAUAGACCCAGUGUCUUGGCCCACUGGCUAGAAAACAAUCUAUGUUAACUGGAGACAUUGUGGAUUGGGGACCUAAAGGCCAAUUAGAUGGAAAAGAAGAAAAUCAGAAAUCGUGGCACAAACUUUGCUGGCAUUGGUGGCAAGCUUUUAAUGCUUCUUCUUUAUAUAACACUGGGAUCCAAUCCCAGUCGGCCGCCCAGAUUGCUUGGCAUGGAGCAGGCUUUAGCCCGCCUCUUCCUCAGUGGCAUUAUCUAGGGAGGAAAGGACCAAUUCAAAAGAUGAUAUGGAAGGCAGCAUUCCCAUUUAUGAAUGGCAACAUCUGGGUUGCCAUAAUACUAUCCAAUAAUAGCAAUAGUAAGCAACACAGUCUUAAUGUUACAUUUGUAAAGAAUAUCACCACUCAAUUUACAGUUUGUGUUUUUAAUCCUUAUGUGUUUUUGGCAGCUAAGAAGGACCAGCUCCAGUCUGUAAAAUCGGAUGGACUGCCAAUCGGAGAAUGAAAGCUACCCAGCCUGGCCUUACAUUCUUUCACUUAAUACAUAAACAAGAAGGGGGAAAUGUUGGGAGCCAAAAAGGCCAAAGGGAUGGUGACCAACUCAGCAUUCCACUGGAGGCUACAUGAUCAAACAGCAAACUGUUUAUCAUGAAUACAGAAUGUGGGCAAACUCGCUUCUGUGCCUGCCCAGAAGGUUUGCUGAGGGCCAUCGCUCCCUGGCCCCGGCUCCUUGAGGUUAUCUACUGGGACAUCUAGAGCCUAUUGUUCGAGGAAUGCAGUCUUGCAAGCCUACUCUGGACCGAGCAGCUGACCUCUUCUUCCACACCCCUUCUCACUAUCUCUUUUGCCUAAUAAAUAUGGAGGGCUGUGUAAAGCUCAGGGCCCUUGUCCACUAGAGGCAAGGUGUCCCCUGACCCUUCUUCCAAACAUACUCUUUUGUCUCUUGUCUUUAUUCCCGCAUUCAUCCCCCUUUGUUCAGUCCACCAUGGAUCCUGGCAGACUACAAGUGGCGCCUCGAACAGCGACAGAAUUAGGUGCUCUACAGGAUUACAGGCAUGAGCCACCACUAUGGGCCCCAAUCCUGAAGUUUAUGAUUCAGCA